AGUGAACGCUGGCGGUAGGCCUAACACAUGCAAGUCGAACGGCAGCACAGUAAGAGCUUGCUCUUACGGGUGGCGAGUGGCGGACGGGUGAGGAAUACAUCGGAAUCUACUUUUUCGUGGGGGAUAACGUAGGGAAACUUACGCUAAUACCGCAUACGACCUACGGGUGAAAGCAGGGGAUCUUCGGACCUUGCGCGAUUGAAUGAGCCGAUGUCGGAUUAGCUAGUUGGCGGGGUAAAGGCCCACCAAGGCGACGAUCCGUAGCUGGUCUGAGAGGAUGAUCAGCCACACGGGAACUGAGACACGGUCCAGACUCCUACGGGAGGCCGCAGUGGGGAAUAUUGGACGAUGGGCGCAAGCCUGAUCCAGCCGUACCGCGUGGGUGAAGAAGGCCUUCGGGUUGUAAAGCCGUUUUGUUGGGAAAGAAAAGCAGCAGGUUAAUACCCCGCUGUUCUGACGGUACCCAAAGAAUAAGCACCGGCUAACUUCGUG
rnacentral:rRNA from 1 species